AUUGAACGCUGGCGGCAGGCCUAACACAUGCAAGUCGAGCGGAUGACGGGAGCUUGCUCCUUGAUUCAGCGGCGGACGGGUGAGUAAUGCCUAGGAAUCUGCCUGUUAGUGGGGGAUAACGCGGGGAAACUCGCGCUAAUACCGCAUACGUCCUAAGGGAGAAAGCGGGGGCUCUUCGGACCUCGCGCUAACAGAUGAGCCUAGGUCGGAUUAGCUAGUUGGUGGGGUAAUGGCCCACCAAGGCGACGCUCCGUAACUGGUCUGAGAGGAUGAUCAGUCACACUGGAACUGAGACACGGUCCAGACUCCUACGGGAGGCAGCAGUGGGGAAUAUUGGACAAUGGGCGAAAGCCUGAUCCAGCCAUGCCGCGUGUGUGAAGAAGGUCUUCGGAUUGUAAAGCACUUUAAGUCGGGAGGAAGGGCUGUAGGCUAAUACCUUGCAGUUUUGACGUUACCGACAGAAUAAGCACCGGCUAACUUCGUGCCAGCCGCCGCAGUAAAAC
rnacentral:rRNA from 1 species